CACACCGCCCGUCACACCAUGGGAGUGGGUUGUACCAGAAGUAGAUAGCUUAACCUUUUGGAGGGCGUUUACCACGGUAUGAUUCAUGACUGGGGUGAAGUCGUAACAAGGUAACCGUAGGGGAACCUGCGGUUGGAUCACCUCCUUACCAAAGA
rnacentral:rRNA from 1 species